rnacentral:rRNA from 1 species
GAUGGGCACUAGGCGUCGGGGGGAACGACCCCUUCGGUGCCGUCGCUAACGCAAUAAGUGCCCCGCCUGGGGAGUACGGCCGCAAGGCUGAAACUCAAAGGAAUUGACGGGGGCCCGCACAAGCGGUGGAGCAUGUGGUUUAAUUCGAUGCAACGCGAAGAACCUUACCUGGGCUUGACAUGUACGUGAAAUCCCGUGGAAACACGGGCCCCUCUUCGGAGCUCGUACACAGGUGCUGCAUGGCUGUCGUCAGCUCGUGUCGUGAGAUGUUGGGUUAAGUCCCGCAACGAGCGCAACCCUCGCUCCCAGUUGCCAGCGGUUCGGCCGGGGACUCUGGGGGGACUGCCGGUGUCAAACCGGAGGAAGGUGGGGAUGACGUCAAGUCAGCAUGGCCCUUACGUCCAGGGCUACACACGUGCUACAAUGGCCGGUACAGCGCGCUGCGAACUCGCGAGGGUAAGCCAAUCGCUAAAAGCCGGUCUAAGUUCGGAUUGCAGUCUGUAACUCGACUGCAUGAAGUCGGAAUCGCUAGUAAUCGCGGAUCAGCUACGCUGCGGUGAAUACGUUCCCGGGCCUUGUACACACCGCCCGUCACGCCAUGGAAGCUGGGGGGACCCGAAGCCAGUGGGCUAACCGCAAGGAGGCAGCUGUCUAAGGUCAAAUCAGUGACUGGGGCGAAGUCGUAACAAGGUAACCGUA